CCUACGGGAGGCAGCAGUGGGGAAUCUUGCGCAAUGGGCGAAAGCCUGACGCAGCAACGCCGCGUGCGGGAUGAAGGCCUUCGGGUUGUAAACCGCUUUUAACAGGAACGAAAAUGACGGUACCUGUAGAAUAAGGUGCGGCCAACUACGUGCCAGCAGCCGCGGUGACACGUAGGCACCAAGCGUUGUCCGGAUUUAUUAGGCGUAAAGAGCUCGUAGGCGGUUCGAUAAGUCGGGUGUGAAAACUCUGGGCUUAACCCAGAGACGCCACUCGAUACUAUUGUGACUAGAGUUCGGUAGGGGAGCGGGGAAUUCCUAGUGUAGCGGUGAAAUGCGCAGAUAUUAGGAGGAACACCGGUGGCGAAGGCGCCGCUCUGGGCCGAAACUGACGCUGAGGAGCGAAAGCGUGGGUAGCAAACAGGAUUAGAUACCCUGGUAGUCCACGCCGUAAACGGUGGGCACUAGGUGUGGGCUCCAACCAACGGAGUCCGCGCCGUCGCUAACGCAUUAAGUGCCCCGCCUGGGGAGUACGGCCGCAAGGUUAAAACUUAAAUGAAUUGACGG
rnacentral:rRNA from 1 species